rnacentral:rRNA from 1 species
CAGUAGCCGCGGGAAUACGUAGGUCCCGAGCGUUGUCCGGAAUUAUUGGGCGUAAAGGGCUCGCAGGCGGUUUCUUAAGUCUGAUGUGAAAGCCCCCGGCUCAACCGGGGAGGGUCAUUGGAAACUGGGAAACUUGAGUGCAGAAGAGAAGAGUGGAAUUCCACGUGUAGCGGUGAAAAGCGUAGAGAUGUGGAGGAACACCAGUGGCGAAGGCGACUCUCUGGUCUGUAACUGACGCUGAGGAGCGAAAGCGUGGGGAGCGAACAGGAUUAGAUACCCCAGUAGUCCCUGUCUCUUAUAC